GAGUUUGAUCAUGGCUCAGGAUGAACGCUAGCGGCAGGCCUAAUACAUGCAAGUCGAACGGUAAGUAGGAUAGCAAUAUUCUACCAAGAGUGACGCACGGGUGCGUAACACGUAUGCAACCUACCCUUUACAGGCGGAUAGCUCGGGGAAACUCGAAUUAACCCGCCAUAAUAUAAUUGAGUGGCAUCAUUUGAUUAUUAAAUCUGAGGAGGUAAAGGAUGGGCAUGCGUCUGAUUAGCUAGUUGGUAGUGUAAUGGACUACCAAGGCGAUGAUCAGUAGGGGAAUUGAGAGGUUGAUCCCCCACACUGGCGCUGAGAUACGGGCCAGACUCCUACGGGAGGCAGCAGUAGGGAAUAUUGGUCAAUGGGUGAGAGCCUGAACCAGCCAUGCCGCGUGCAGGAAGAAGGCCUUCUGGGUUGUAAACUGCUUUUGCCAGGGGAUAAAAUUUCCUUGCGAGGAAAAUUGAAGGUACCUGGUGAAUAAGCCACGGCUAACUACGUGCUAGCAGCCGCGGUAAUAC
rnacentral:rRNA from 1 species